CCUCCUCCCACGCCGGCAUCAAGCGUCAGCGGAGCCACAGGGGGAGGGGCAGCCAUGGAGUGUCCCUCCCUCACCUGGGGCUGGGGAAACACAGCCCCGUCUUCGGCCGAGGAAUGGAGCGGAAGAAGCUAAGACGCAGCUGGGGGCCACCGGCCGGCUCUAAGAGACUGUCUACGGAUUCGUUCGUCUGGGACUCUGUCUGGGACUCGGCCUCCGAAGACAGCGAAGACGACGACAACUUUCCAAGCACACAGACUCAGUGACACACACAGAGACACACAGACACAUAGACACACACAUAGACACACAC